rnacentral:snRNA from 1 species
CAGAAACCAAAGCUCUUUUGGCG